rnacentral:misc_RNA from 1 species
UACGGGGGGUGCGAGCGUUGUCCGGAAUCACUGGGCGUAAAGGGCGCGUAGGUGGUCUUGUAAGUUUGCGGUGAAAGCCCGGGGCUCAACCCCGGGUCUGCCGUGGAUACUGCGAGACUAGAGUACUGUAGGGGCUGGUAGAAUGCCGGGUGUAGCGGUGGAAUGCGUAGAGAUCCGGCGGAAGACCGGUGGCGAAGGCGGCCAGCUGGGCAGUAACUGACACUGAGGCGCGACAGCGUGGGGAGCAAACAGG